rnacentral:misc_RNA from 1 species
GAAAUGCGAUAAGUAGUGUAAAUUGCAGAAUUUAGUAAAUCAUCGAAUCUUUAAACGCACAUUGCGCCCCUUAGUAUUCUAUAGGGCAUGCCUGUUUGAGCGUUAUUUGUACCCUUAAGCCUUGCUUAGUAUUAGGUGUUUGUCUUGCGAGACUCGCCUUAAAACAAUUAGCAGCUAGCAUACUGGUUUUAGAGCGCAGCACAAAUUACGCUUUGUCUACAAAUGUUAGCGUCUAUAAAGCCCCUAUUUUCUACUUUUAACCUUAGAUUAGGUAGGGAUACCCGCUGAACUUAA